rnacentral:lncRNA from 1 species
UUUGUUUCAUUACAUUGAGCAAUAGACAAGUUACGGGUUGUUUACUUCACAUGUCAUCUUCCAACAACAUCCCCCAUCAUACAUUCACUACAUGAGAACUAAAACAAAAAAUAUAAUUGAAAAAAAAGGUUUUUUUAAAUUACAAUCCAUAUACGUGAAACACAUGAACUACAAGAUACAUUACAUACAUUACAACUUUUCCUCCCCACGAUCUUCCUACAUCCAUACAUCAUAAGCAUCUACAUACAUACAUCAUGCUCCAUCAAAGUCACGAAUCCUUCACUGCCCAACUAACCUCAUUGCAAUUCCCCCAAAAAAUUACCUCCAAUUCACCUCAUGAGUAUCACCACUCACCCUCAAAUUUACCUAUAUAAGCUAACACCAUUUUCACUGCAUAACACAUCUUGAUACAAUAAAACUCACUAUGAAAACUCUGUUACAUCCACACUUUCAAACAUGCAAAAAUUCCCUACAAACUCUUGCGAAGUUCUCAACAACCACCAUAGAGAUAAAGGAGGAAGAAAGAUUCAAAAGAAAGAGAAGAAACAUGGGAAAUGGAAUAAGAAUAAGGAAGAGAGUAGUUGAGCUUACCUGAGGUGAUUCUUGGCCUCGUCGGUUGGCUCGCAGGAAGCCUGAUAAACGAAGAUUCCAACGAGGUAUUUGUUUCCAUCAUUUACUUCACUUAUUACAUGUCUUUUUAUGUGUUCUUUCACAUUUAUUGUUCCUUCUCCUUUUGAUUUAUGUAAAACUGUUGUAAUCGAAUCAAAUUAUAGAAAAGGGGGCUAGGGUUUUCAAUUAGGGCUAAGGGCGAUUUGCAUUUUAUAUUUUGAAUCUGUUUAAUUGAAUGAUUCAUGAUCAACGUGAAAAUGGAGGGGGAUUCAUGUUGGUGAAUUUUGAUUUGAGAGAUUUAUGCAAAAUUCUGGAAAAAACAAAGACGGUGUUCUUCAUUUUUCAAAGUUUUUGAUCUGAAUUUUUUUUAAGAGUUUGGUUUAG